rnacentral:rRNA from 1 species
GAUGAACGCUAGCUACAGGCUUAACACAUGCAAGUCGAGGGGAAACGAUAGAGAAAGCUUGCUUUUUCUAGGCGUCGACCGGCGCACGGGUGAGUAAUGCGUAUCCAACCUGCCCAUCACUUGGGGAUAACCUUGCGAAAGUAAGACUAAUACCCAAUGAUAUCUCUAGAAGACAUCUGAAGGAGAUUAAAGAUUUAUCGGUGAUGGAUGGGGAUGCGUCUGAUUAGCUUGUUGGCGGGGUAACGGCCCACCAAGGCGACGAUCAGUAGGGGUUCUGAGAGGAAGGUCCCCCACAUUGGAACUGAGACACGGUCCAAACUCCUACGGGAGGCAGCAGUGAGGAAUACUGGUCAAUGGGCGAGAGCCUGAACCAGCCAAGUAGCGUGCAGGAUGACGGCCCUAUGGGUUGUAAACUGCUUUUAUAAGGGAAUAAAGUGAGUCUCGUGAGACUUUUUGCAUGUACCUUAUGAAUAAGGACCGGCUAAUUCCGUGCCAGCCGCCGCCGUAA